CACAAUAUACCGCGUGAAUGGCAUCCCCUUAUCAAUCCUUCCUGUGUGUUAUCUAAUCUGGCCAACAUUGGCGAAAUAGGAAAAAUUACUUCACUUGUAAACUGCUCCAUUCACUCACAAAUCUUUGAACGACAGCAAUAUCGCCCAGGAUCUAACCAUUUCCCAACUCACUUCCAGUGUAGGCAUUGACACAAGCUGGAUUAUAUUUGUGCAUUGAGGACUGGACUCCCCUAGCCAAAAUGAAAGCAUUCUGCAAAUUAAUUGUUUCUAUUCCAGCUAUGCAGAUAUUAAAGCAAAAACUGUCAUUAAAGGGACACUUACCUUUGGCCAGCUGGAUGACCAUACCUGUCUACCCUUAUCUCCAUACUGAGAGCUGGAAGCUCUUGUUAGGAACUUCCUUAACA